GACAUUUGGUAGAGACUGUUGAAGCCACCUGGUCCCAGCAGACCCCAGAAAACGGCUACAUUCGCUGGUACUGGAACAAGGACGUUAAGGGUGAAGACUGGUGCCAGAUGUGU
ensembl:rRNA 5S_rRNA 5S ribosomal RNA